rnacentral:rRNA from 1 species
AGUGAACGCUGGCGGUAGGCCUAACACAUGCCAGUCGAACGGCAGCACAGUAAGAGCUUGCUCUUACGGGUGGCGAGUGGCGGACGGGUGAGGAAUACAUCGGAAUCUACUUUUUCGUGGGGGAUAACGUAGGGAAACUUACGCUAAUACCGCAUACGACCUACGGGUGAAAGCAGGGGAUCUUCGGACCUUGCGCGAUUGAAUGAGCCGAUGUCGGAUUAGCUAGUUGGCGGGGUAAAGGCCCACCAAGGCGACGAUCCGUAGCUGGUCUGAGAGGAUGAUCAGCCACACUGGAACUGAGACAAGGUCCAGACUCCUACGGGAGGCAGCAGUGGGGAAUAUUGGACAAUGGGCGCAAGCCUGAUCCAGCCAUACCGCGUGGGUGAAGAAGGCCUUCGGGUUGUAAAGACCUUUUGUUGGGAAAGAAAAGCAGCAGGUUAAUACCCCGCUGUUCUGACGGUACCCAAAGAAUAAGCACCGGCUAACUUCGUG